rnacentral:rRNA from 1 species
UCCCGUCAAUUUCUUUGAGUUUUAAUCUUGCGACCGUACUCCCCAGGCGGUCAACUUCACGCGUUAGCUACGUUACUAAGGAAAUGAAUCCCCAACAACUAGUUGACAUCGUUUAGGGCGUGGACUACCAGGGUAUCUAAUCCUGUUUGCUCCCCACGCUUUCGUGCAUGAGCGUCAGUGUUGGCCCAGGGGGCUGCCUUCGCCAUCGGUGUUCCUCCGCAUAUCUACGCAUUUCACUGCUACACGCGGAAUUCCACCCCCCUCUGCCAGACUCUAGCUUGCCAGUCACAAAUGCAGUUCCCAGGUUGAGCCCGGGGAUUUCACAUCUGUCUUAACAAACCGCCUGCGCACGCUUUACGCCCAGUAAUUCCGAUUAACGCUUGCACCCUACGUAUUACCGCGGCUGCUGGCACA